GGAUAGUGGUGGUCGCUUUGUUAAUGCUAAGGCAGAAGCUGUGUGGAAUGAUUUUAAAAGUAGAAAAACCGCAAAUCUACAAUGUGAAGUUGAGAAUCGAAAGACUGAAGAUGAGUUGUUCCUUGAAGCUACGGGAGGGUGGAGUGAAAAGGGAAGGAUAUUUGGUCUGGGGGCAGCUGCUGACUCUUUCUAUGAGAGACCCGGAGAUAGGAGAACCAAAAAAUCACGAACAAAUUAUGCGAUGGAACAAAAAAGGGAGCUUGAUGAAACUAAGGAGAACCUAGCUGAAACCCAAGAUAACCUUGCUGAAACUCAAAAAGCACUUGCCGAAACGCAAAGAAUUGUGGAGGAUCUUCAUGAACAAUUUCGACUUAUUGUGCAAGCCAACAAUCUCUCGACCACUCCUACUUCUACAUCCUUGUCUUGAGUUCCUCUUAUUUCGUAGAUGGAUGACUGCAACCUUGGAUUGAAGAUUGCUUUUUGGAUUGAAGGUGGAAUUUUUGUACAUGCUGUGAAGUCUGAUGUUAUUUUAUUUAGCAUGCAUAGUACUUAUGUUCUUCUAACAUAGGUCUCAAGGCAUUAUAUUUUGUAAUUAAAGGUACUAAUUGUUAACCUUAGUUAAUUAGAGGGGCUGUUUUUGCAUAGUGGUACCAGCUCCUCCACUUGUUGGCUACUUUCUAAGCUUAGUUAAUUAGAGGGGUUGCUUUUGUAGUA